AAGUCGAAACGAGAAGCCGGAGCAAUCUGGUAAGUAAAGUGGCGUACGGGUGAGUAACACGUGGAUUAUCUGCCCUUUUGUGGGGAAUACCGCUGGGAAACCGGCGACAAUACCGCAUAAGCUCGAGAGAGGAAAGCAGCAAUGCGCAGAAGGAGGAGUCCGCGGUCGAUUAGUUAGUUGGCGGGGUAAAGGCCCACCAAGACUGUGAUCGAUAGCCGGCCUGAGAGGGCACACGGCCACACUGGCACUGAAACACGGGCCAGACUCCUACGGGAGGCAGCAGUGGGGAAUCUUGCACAAUGGGGGAAACCCUGAUGCAGCGACGCCGCGUGAGCGAUGAAGCCCCUCGGGGUGUAAAGCUCUUUCGGCAGGGAAGAUUAUGACGGUACCUGCAAAAGCAGCUGCGGCUAACUACGUGCCAGCAGCCGCGGUAAUACGUAGGCAGCAAGCGUUGUUCGGAGUUACUGGGCGUAAAGGGUGCGUAGGCGGCUUUUUAAGUUUGGUGUGAAAUCUCCCGGCUCAACUGGGAGGGUGCGCCGAAUACUGAGAGGCUAGAGUGUGGGAGAGGAAAGUGGAAUUCCUGGUGUAGCGGUGAAAUGCGUAGAUAUCAGGAGGAACACCGGUGGUGUAAACGGCUUUCUGGACCAUAACUGACGCUGAAGCACGAAAGCGUGGGUAGCAAACAGGAUUAGAUACCCUGGUAGUCCACGCCCUAAACGAUGCAUAUUUGGUGUGGGCCAUUCAUUUGGUCUGU
rnacentral:rRNA from 1 species